CCAGACUCCUACGGGAGGCAGCAGUGGGGGAUAUUGCACAAUGGGGGAAACCCUGAUACAGCGACGCCGCGUGGGUGAAGAAGUAUUUCGGUAUGUAAAGCCCUAUCAGCAGGGAAGAAAGAAGACGGUACCUGACUAAGAAGCCCCGGCUAACUACGUGCCAGCAGCCGCGGUAAUACGUAGGGGGCGAGCGUUAUCCGGAUUCACUGGGUGUAAAGGGAGCGUAGACGGCCGUGCAAGCCAGGAGUGAAAGCCCGGGGCCCAACCCCGGGACUGCUCUUGGAACUGUGCGGCUGGAGUGCGGGAGGGGCAGGCGGAAUUCCUGGUGUAGCGGUGAAAUGCGUAGAUAUUAGGAGGAACACCAGUGGCGAAGGCGGCUUACUGGACAGUAACUGACGUUGAGGCUCGAAAGCGUGGGGAGCAAACAGGAUUAGAUACCCGCGUA
rnacentral:rRNA from 1 species